rnacentral:rRNA from 1 species
GGGCGUAAAGAGCUCGUAGGCGGUUCAGUAAGUCGGGUGUGAAAACUCUGGGCUUAACCCGGAGACGCCACCCGAUACUGUUGAACUUGAGUUCGGUAGGGGAGCGGGGAAUUCCUGGUGUAGCGGUGAAAUGCGCAGAUAUCAGGAGGAACACCGGUGGCGAAGGCGCCGCUCUGGGCCGAAACUGACGCUGAGGAGCGAAAGCGUGGGUAGCAAACAGGAUUAGAUACCCUGGUAGUCCACGCCGUAAACGUUGGGCACUAGGUGUGGGCUCCAACCAACGGAGUCCGUGCCGUCGCUAACGCAUUAAGUGCCCCGCCUGGGGAGUACGGCCGCAAGGCUAAAACUCAAAGGAAUUGACGGGGCCCCGCACAAGCAGCGGAGCGUGUUGCUUAAUUCGAUGCGACGCGAAGAACCUUACCUGGGCUUGACAUGCAGGGAAAAGCCGUAGAGAUACGGUGUCCUUCGGGGCCUUGCACAGGUGGUGCAUGGCUGUCGUCAGCUCGUGUCGUGAGAUGUUGGGUUAAGUCCCGCAACGAGCGCAACCCUUGUCCUAUGUUGCCAGCGGGUAAUGCCGGGGACUCGUAGGAGACUGCCGGGGUCAACUCGGAGGAAGGUAAU